rnacentral:rRNA from 1 species
UGGGGAAUCUUGCGCAAUGGACGAAAGUCUGACGCAGCGAUGCCGCGUGCGGGAUGAAGGCCCUCGGGUUGUAAACCGCUUUCAGCAGGGACGAAAUUGACGGUACCUGCAGAAGAAGCCCCGGCCAACUACGUGCCAGCAGCCGCGGUAAUACGUAGGGGGCGAGCGUUGUCCGGAUUUAUUGGGCGUAAAGAGCUCGUAGGCGGUUCGAUAAGUCGGAUGUGAAAUCUCCACGCUCAACGUGGAGGGGCCAUUCGAUACUGUCGUGACUCGAGUCCGGGAGGGGAGUGUGGAAUUCCCGGUGUAGCGGUGAAAUGCGCAGAGAUCGGGAGGAACACCCGUAGCGAAGGCGGCACUCUGGGCCGGUACUGACGCUGAGGAGCGAAAGCGUGGGGAGCAAACA